rnacentral:rRNA from 1 species
UUCAGCCCUCCCCAAAAGUGAAUGUACCAAAAGGUGCAAUCGCGAAAUGAAAGUAAUUUGAAGUGCCUGUCGGUGCUGAUAAUGAAAGUGGUGAUGGUGCUUAUAUUUAUAUGAGUAUCCGGCAAUCACGGGCGGUUGAUCGAUAUCAAGUGUGUAUACCUUGUUGAUCGGUGACUGACUCUUAGCAGGUAGCUCAAGACCCGAAAGAUGGUGAUCUAUGCCCGGGCAGGGUGAAGCCUCGAGAAAUCGUGGUGGAAGMCCGAAGCGUUUCUGACGUKCCAAUCGAUCGUYUGACCUGGGUAUAGGUUGGCCCC